ACUGGGUAAAUUACAGUAACCCAAACAAAGUAGGCCUAAAAGCAGCCACCUUUCAAAAAGCGUCAUAGCUUUACCUCCCUUACACCCAAUUAAUAAAAUCUCCAUUAACCCUUCACCAGUACUGAACUAUUUUAUAUCUUUAUAAAAAUAAUUAUGCUAGAACUAGUAACAAGAAUAUUGUCCUUCUCCUAAUGCAAGUAUGAAUCAAAAUGACACCCAAUGAUAAUUAACGUAGAUACAUAAAGUAUAGUAACAAAUACCAAGAAAAUUCUAUAAUUUCAAACGUCAACCUUACACCAGAGCAUUACAGGAAAGAUUAAAAGAGAAAGAAGGAACUCGGCAAACUUCAGCCCCGCCUGUUUACCAAAAACAUCGCCUCUUGAUUUCCAUAAGAGGUCCAGCCUGCCCAGUGACAAAGUUCAACGGCCGCGGUAACCUAACCGUGCAAAGGUAGCAUAAUCACUUGUUCUCUAAAUAGGGACUCGUAUCAAUGGCAUCACGAGGGCUUCACUGUCUCCUUUCUCUAAUCAGUGAAACUG
rnacentral:rRNA from 1 species